UAAAUUUAUUUAAUUUAAAAGCCGGUCCCUAUGAUUGCAGAUUUUCAUUUCUCUUCUAAACAAAGAAGUUUUUUGAAAAAAAAAAAACGCUCUGCUACGUAACAGAUUUUUUAAUUAUCUAUUUUAUAUCAGAGCAUUUUUUUCGAAAUUCUCUUUUGUUUAAGAGAAAAACAUAAAACUGCAAUUAACUUUAUCAUCACGAGUGCAACAAGGAUAGUACCGUUUCUCGCCGUGAGUGCGACGCAAGAAAAA
rnacentral:lncRNA from 1 species